UCUAUUUCUCCCUUUCACAAAUGCAAUCUCUCACUUCUUACCGGUAUUAUUUCCCUUCGGUGCUCAUUUAUUAAGGCGCUGCAGAGCACAGCGCCAGCAAAUCUCUUUAUCGGCGUUCAAGUGUCCAGCAAUUCUGCUGUAGGCGCAGUAUUCUUCUUUCCUAUAAUAUCGGCGCAGUGAGCAAGAAGAACAAUUGCCUGUCGAUCUGUCGGUCCGUGAUUCAAAUCUUGAGUAGGCACAGCGAUUUGUUUACGAAAUUCUUGCAAAGUCUUUUACGAUUCCUGCUGCGGACACGGGUGACGGCAGUGGACUACAGCGACAGCGGUUAAGUUUAAGGGGUAAAAUUGCGGAUUAUAACAGAGACUGACAGACCGAAGGAGGCAUGAUGUACAUUGCAGUAGCACUACUUCUGGCCUUCGUUUUUGCUGACCAAACAAAAGGUGGUUCGCUUAUUGAAGAAGAUCACCCAGGCAGCUUUAGAAAACCGACGUUUGUUAACGGAAGUCACUGCAUUCUGAGUAAAACUGUCCAGCUGCCAGAUGGUGGAAGGGCUACAUUUCACCGACCCUGCAUCAGGCUGACAUGCAAUGCCACCGCAAAACAACUCACCGAAGAAUACUGCAAGCCAUCUGAGGAAUACAACGAAUCUGGCUUUAUAUUUCAACCAGAAGGAGGAUCAUUUCCUUACUGUUGCCCUAUGGCUCCUUCUAAGCAAAAGUCCUAGACAAGAAUAAAGCUUUUUUUUUUCUACAGUAUAAUUCACAUAUUAUAGCUGGGUCCACCAUUGAAUGUGGUCUCUCAACGAGGCAAUAAUAUUAUAUGAUAUAAAUAUCGUGGAAGCAACAUUGUCUAUUUUUGGGGAAUUUCAAAGAAGCCGAGCAGUAUAUAAGAUCUGAUAAAAUCGACUGCAGAAAACAUUGACAGCAAACAUACCACCUCCAAGAAGUAAACUGCGACAUAUUCAACGCACGUGCGAUCAGCGUAAAACAACGGGUUUCCUGACUUUUUGAAAA